CCCAUAACAAAACCAGGUUUGUUUAUUGUGUUGUUCACGCAUGUGGGCUGUGAAUAAGUUCCAGUUGUAUUUUGUGCUCUUAAAGUGUUCACCGUCCAAUCCCAGUGCAGUCGCCUCCAGGUUCCAGGGGGAAGUUACCAAGUGGUACGACAAAGCAGGAACUCAAACAAGGUGUGAGAUGCUGUCAGAGUCUGCCAGUGGAAACUCCUUGUUCAGCUCCCUGAUGGAGCGAGUCAGGAGCAGCCUCCUCACCGUGCUCCUCCUGCGCCCCAUAGAAGAGCCCUUCAGUAAUGCGACAAGGGAGAAGGUGGACGUCAGGAAGCAGAUGGUCCAGUUAAAGGAGAGAUGUAACUAGUACCUGUCCAUCAUUGUUGGCAGUGGAGCAGCAGAAGGAGGAAGCCGCAGUACCUGGAAAUACCCACGCAGAUACCGGGAGAAGAUACAACUGCAAACAGACACAAGAACAUUAUGGCUGUGAGGCUACAGUGCCAACCGCUGCACCACCGUGCCACCACAAGGAAGGGAUGUGGAAGGGAACUGUGGAAAUUGAAAAGAGUUGUCUGGAGAACGAGAGGAGUGGAUCCGAUGUGGAUCCUACAGAGAAAUAUCACCCAGCUCUGCCGCUUCCCACAAAGAUGGAUUGACAGCGAUGCCGAAGAUUUCGUGUAAUAUGGGGAGUACAGAGAAAGAAGACAAAUAAUAAGUGGUUGGCAGACAGCGAGGAAUCCGAGGAGCCAUCGCAGGGGGAUGUGGAGGGAAGGAAGAGCGAUGAGAGGGAGGGAAAUGGGGGGGAAAUGGGGACUGAUUAAAGAUGAGAGGGAGUGCUGAGGUCAGUGUAAAAAAUAUUUAAAGAUGGAGACAUAGAGGAAGGAGGGAGCAGAGGGAGGAUUAGUAAACAUUUGAUCAUCAAUUUAGACAGAAUAAAUGUACAAGUGAAGACUUUGCAGAGUACAUUGUUCUCUUUUUUACAGACUGUUCAACGUGAAAACAAGCCAAGAAUACAGAGCAAAGAGUGAGAAGAGGAAGGCUAUUUAACACAACUGGGUAUUGUGGAAAUGCACAGUGGAGGUGGAGAGUAGACUGGAGGAGAGACUAAUUCCACUGCACCAAUGCUGAUGGAUGGACUAAAGGAACCUUAUUUUUACCUUAUAAAUGUUUUAUUCCUAGAUCCUCCAAACUAUUAACCGCUUCCCCUUUGUUCCUCUACUCUUCCUCUCUUCCUCUCCCCUCACUCCACCACUUCUAAGCUCUCUGCUGGGAUCAAACUUUUAGAGCAGCUCCGACUUUGUUCGUAGUCAGCAUGUUCUCAAAAUUGCAGCUAAAGCUUUGUCACGUUCGGUGUGUAACCUGCCUGCACACGAUGAAACCCUGGACAGUACGAAUCAACGACACUCCAUUCACACUGAAUGCAUGCAGGCCUUGUGUUUGUUCUGUAGAUCUGCACGCGAUGGCAGAUACAGAUUCAAUCCGUUUUGUGACAUAGUUCCUGGGUUGGAUUUGAUUUGAUCUGUAUGAGUAAUUUUAGCUUUAGUUUUGUCAAUUUAGCUUAGCUCAGUUUCCUAUACAUAGACUAUAUUAGUCUAUAUAUUGAGAUUUAUGAAGUGUCUCAUCUUCCUCUUCAUUCUACACAAAUUAAGCCGAAACAUUGCAUGUAUAAUGGCAGCCAUCUUGCUCCGAUGUCAUUUGGAGCCAGAGUCUGCACAGUAGCGAUCGGGUGGGGGAGUCGAGUCAUUCGCAGGCUCACUUGGUGUGUUUUGAGUUCUACAAGCUGCUGCUCAGUCAACAUGGGCGAGUCCAUGAAACACAGAGCGCUCAUGAACAUCGUGUUCACAUCCCAUUGGAUUUUAUAAUUUUUUAAUCAUACGGACAACCCACUCUUAAUGUCCUGAAACACCUUCCGCUGUGAGUUCUGUCUAGAGGUUUAGUCUCCCCCCCCUUGAACACAGCCCCUGUGUCUUAGCAAUUAUAGAGCUGGAGAAGCUGCCCAGCUUCCAUCCACUGCAGCACCUCGGAGACAGGAACCUUUGCUUUGCCACCACGAGCGUGUGUGUUACUGGAGGUUUUUCAUUGAUUUACUGCUGCAGUGAGUAUAUUCCUCCCACUAGUGACAAUAAAGUUAAAGUGAAGUCAAGUGUGAGCGCUGGUGCAGGAGAGUUUGAAAGAAGCAGCUUGCGUCUGCUUGCGUCUUCAUCAGGUUCCUCCUGCUGUGAACCGAAACGUUUCAAGGUUCUGCUUAAGUGUGGCUGUGACAGCCGAGAACAACUGUGUGCUUUCUGUGUUAUUCUGUGUGUUUAUAUUACACCCGGGCGAUGAUGAAUACGUGUCUUCUCCCCCUGCUUUUUGUAUUCUUCUGACAACUGAGGAUCUAUUCAUGGCUGACUCACUCAAAAGAGUAGAGAGCAAGAGAGUGUGUGGGUUUUUUGGAUAUCUGUCACUUACUUCUGUUGCUUUAUUCCAUGGGUGGGAAUUAGAUUUGACAAAGUCGAGCUCAAUAUUAAUGUGAUCACAGGAGGAUUUUGUUGCUGCCGAGAUUUCCUCUCCCCUCAGCUCAGAGUAGAGUCUGGUGUUGAUCUGCCUCGGCUACGGAGGCCAUGAUUCAUGAGUCGAGAUAACUCGAUGAAAGUUUCACAUGAUUAAUGAAAACAUACAUUAAACAUUCCUCUUUCUCCUUACACCUCCACAGCUCUGCUCUUCAUCUCAAGCCUCUUCAGACAAGAACUCCGGAGUAUGACCAAUGGAUGGCUCCAAACCUUCUCUGCUCAGACAUGUUGACAGCAACACAGAAAUCUCCGGAGGCCUCAGUUUCUGUCAAGUCCUCAUAGACUGGAUUGCUCGCCUGUGACUCGCGUCUCAAAGCCAGUGCGUUAAAAUCACCGUCUUCAUGCACGGGAAUCUGCUGAGUCUGUACCUGGAUGAGCACGAGGAGAGUCCCUGGGAUGCUCUGACGUAUCUCAUUGCUGGGGUCAACUAUGGAGGUCAUGUCACUGAUGACUGGGACGGACAUCUUCUAACAACAUACAUCAGUGACUACUGCUGUGGUGCUGACAUUACCCAGUCCUUCUGCAAGUGGGAAACAGACAAACAAACACACACACACACACUGUUCUGCCACAGCCUUGGCACGUUUCUUUAUGUCUCUAAUACUAGAUUGAGCCCCACUUGAGAUCUGCUAUACUGAAAUAUAAAAACCCACUUUAAAGGUGCUAUAUUUAAAAUGUACACUGCUCUAAAUAAAUGAGUGAAUGCAUCUAUUUGUGUCAAAAUGCAUAAUUUCCACUGAUUAAAAUAACAGUUUUUCUGAGAAAGCGCACUGCGGCUGCACUCAGCCGACAGAGGCCUCUCCAACUCCCCACUGAAGCUCGUGGAGGCGGCAGAGUGCUAGCACCACCACGUGGACAACCAGAUGACAUUAUCCCGAGAAAUAUAGACACAGUGGCAGCCUGAUGAACACUGACAGGAACACUAAGUCCUUGCUUUUCUUCAUUUAAUCACUUGCACAAAUCCACACAGGCACCGCUGUCCACUAACUUCAUUUGUAACCAAACAGAGAUUUAAGGUCGGUAGAGCAGAUAAAAUAAAAAUCUCUUAUUUACAAAAGGGAAGAUAAAUCGAGGUCGUCCGGAUUUUCUGCUGUCACUUGAUUGAGCUGUAAUGGCGUGAUGAAGUCGUGAAGCCACAUGAAUAAUUGAGCUCGAAAACAGUAAAACAACUUAGUAUGCACAUUAGAAGAAACCAUCUUGUUAUUGAUUUGACUUUAAUAUAAAUUAUUUAUUUUUACCCGGAUAAAAUGAAUAAUAGAAUGUAAAUAUCUAAAGGCAUUGAGGGGAAAAGAAAAAUAUAGUUGUAAUGAUUUUGUAUUUUAUUUACUAAUAUGUAUGAGUCAUACAGAAAUUCUUCAUGUGUCAAAGUUCAUGCUUAUUUACCAGCAAAUUUCCAGGGAUUUAUCUGCUAAUACCUGGAUUAGCCUGUACCUGGACGACUGUGUUCUGGUGGGGAUUACAGUCUCUACAAUUUACAACUUACAAGUUGUAAUA